rnacentral:lncRNA from 1 species
GUGAAAUUCCUGUUAUGAUAUAUCUCUUCAACCUACCAACAGAAGUAUUAUAAAGCAAUCCAGAGAGUAGAAGAGAAAAGACCCAAAGAGACAGUCCUCAAAGUCCAGUGUCAAGACAAAAGUCAAGAUGACCAGCGAUGGCACAGGAUGCAACAGGUGAUUGGGCAUCUUUGAUGUCUGUCCAAACUUUAAGCUCUCCACAGUGCCUGCUUCAACCUCCUGAUAAUAAAUUCUUCUCAUGCACUCAGCAUCUCACCAAGGAAAGCCUUCACGUCCCUCUGGCAGAAAUCCCCCUAACUCACCAAAGAAUUUGAAGCAUGGCAGUUUCACCUGGAUUCGCCCCCUUAUGGUGCCUCUGCAUGUUACAGCUUUUUGGAGUCACAGAGAUCAGUGCAAUUCUUCUGAGGGCUUCUUAGUGAAAUCAAGAUAG